rnacentral:tRNA from 1 species
GGGGUAUUAGCUCAUUUGGUAGAGCGUUAGGUUCGCAAUCUAAAGGUGACCGGUUCGAGCCCGGUAUACUCCA